UGAAGACUGUGGGAUUAGUUAUUUCAGCAGGCCUCUCCACCUGACGUUCUAUGACUAGAUGGGACAUCUCUGGAGUAACUGAUUAUCAGGAUGUCAGGCAUGAAAGCUGAUGCUGAGGAAGUUCUCUGGGCCAAGAGACUUCCCUAACACCUCAUAUUCUAUAAGCUAUCCUGCAACGCACUGAGUUUACUAAUGGCGUGCCCUUUACAACUUUUAUCUUUUGUUUUUCUCCUCACCAUAGGACAAAUGAGAAGAGAAUUUGGAUUUGAACCAAGGUGAUUCUGAAGUGCACUCUGAAUAACAACCAUUGGAUUAAAAUGCAGGUGGAGCAUAUUAACAUGCUAAUUAUGCAGAUUACAAAAGAAGAGGUCCAUUUAGGCUGAGAUUUUAAAAUAUGGCUUAUAGAAGAGAUGCGAUUUCAGUGAAAGGUCAGAUAUGGAUAAGAGCAUAAUGUUAAUUGACUUUCAUCAUUAAAAGAUCCUCAAAUGACAACUGAAUUAUCCAAGCCUUCAAAAAUGUAUACAUUGAACUUGGUUGGUCCUUGCCUCCAAAGACAGUCCCGUUCAUCAUGGAAGACAUUGGAACCUCCAGUAGUUGGAGCUGAGGGUCUUUAUCAGAAAGCAGUCAUUCACCUCUGCCUUAGCCCUACCUUUCAUUCCUGAUAUCAACUGUGGUCCAAGUAUGAUCUUCAGUAACCAGACC